rnacentral:rRNA from 1 species
UACGUAGGGGGCUAGCGUUGUCCGGAAUCAUUGGGCGUAAAGCGCGCGUAGGCGGUCCGGUAAGUCUGCUGUGAAAGUCCAGGGCUCAACCCUGGAAGGCCGGUGGAUACUGUCGGACUAGAGUGCGGAAGAGGCGAGUGGAAUUCCUGGUGUAGCGGUGGAAUGCGCAGAUAUCAGGAGGAACACCUAUAGCGAAGGCAGCUCGCUGGGACGUAACUGACGCUAAGGCGCGAAAGCGUGGGGAGCGAACAGG